CCUACGGGAGGCAGCAGUGAGGAAUAUUGGUCAAUGGCCGGAAGGCUGAACCAGCCAUGCCGCGUGAAGGUCAGUGCCCUAUGGGCGUUAAACUUCUUUUGUGCGGGAGCAAUAAUGGUCACGUGUGGCCAGACGAGAGUACCGUACGAAUAAGCAUCGGCUAACUCCGUGCCAGCAGCCGCGGGAAUACGGGGGAGGCAAGCGUUCUCCGGAUUUUUUGGGUUUAAAGGGUGCGUAUGCUGUGAGGUAAGUCAGCGGUGAAAUGCCCCCGCUCAACGGGGUGAAGUGCCAUUGAUACUGGCUUGCUGGAAUGCGGAUGCCGUGGGAGGAAUGUGUGGUGUAGCGGUGAAAUGCAUAGAUAUCACACAGAACACCGAUUGCGAAGGCAUCUCACGAAGCCGCGAUUGACGCUGAUGCACGAAAGCGUGGGUAUCAAACAGGAUUAGAUACCCCUGUAGUC
rnacentral:rRNA from 1 species